rnacentral:rRNA from 1 species
UACGAAGGGUGCAAGCGUUACUCGGAAUUACUGGGCGUAAAGCGCACGUAGGCGGUUCGUUAAGUCGGAUGUGAAAGCCCUCGGCUCAACUGAGGAAGUGCACCCGAAACUGGCGAGCUUGAGUACGAAAGAGGAUCGCGGAAUUCCCGGUGUAGAGGUGAAAUUCGUAGAUAUCGGGAGGAACACCGGUGGCGAAGGCGGCGAUCUGGGUCGAUACUGACGCUGAGGUGCGAAAGCGUGGGGAGCAAACAGG